GCUCCGCCACCCACACUGCCCAGGAGGAGCAGCGGGCCAGAGCGCUGAUGGCAUGGCGCGCUGAGGCUGCGGGGGAGGUGGACAGCGGAGGGGGGGCUGGGGGCUAGCCUCCCAGCCGGGAGCUCAAGGGCUGGGCAGGAUGGUCCUGUGGGCUGUAGUUUGCCCACCUCUGUUAUAGGGUGAGGAGUAGAAAUGGCUGCUAUAGAGCAACUGACAGGGAUUAUUUCUGAGGGCUUGGUGGCUCAUAAAGGAUGGCGGUGUAAACCUUAAAACUCCACCAGACUGCCUGAAUAUAUACUGUACUUGCUACCCUGGUGAAGUGAUGGCCUCUGAGAUUUCUUUGUAAGAUAUUACUCAAAGAUUUAGGGCCUUCUGCUACACAAAUUAAAAUAAACCUGGUAAUUUUAUAUUUCUUUUCCCUCUGACUCCCCAGUAUCUUGAAAUAUUGAAAGGAGAGCAAGAUAAAGGGAAAAAGAAAUAGAAACAACCAAAUUAGAGAAGAUGAAGUUAUGUAACUUGACCCCCCCAAUGUCUGCUAUAUGCACAACUGAGGAAAGUACUAUCUAGUAGUACCAUUGUGUUGUGUUGUCUAGGUGGUAUUUCACUCUUAAAUGUAAACUGUCAUUUUUUUGUAAUAAGAAUGUUAACAUUCUUUGUUUCAUUGAGUGGCAUUUCAUUGUUUUUGUUUUCUAAACAAUAUUUCAGGAUAUUUUCAGUAAAUAUUUAGAGGGUUUUAUUAUUACUCUUAUUUCAUGAACUGAAAUGGGGCCAAGCUGAGUCAAAUUUGCGUCAUCGACAAAAAUGUGAGCAUCCCAUCACAUUUGGUGUGAGGAACUGAAGUAUGACAGUGAUAGCGAGUUAGUGUGUUGAAAAGCUUUGUGAAUAUGUAGCCCCUAAUAAGUGUCACAUUUUAAAGGGUUUGGUGGUCUUAAAAUUAAAAUAGGAGAGGAAUAUGGUCAAGCAUUAAAUGAAGAGAGGGAGGUGAUGGAUAAAAGAGAAAUAUGGAAUGCAUCUGAUGCCAGAAAUUUUUUUUCCACCCGUAGAUGUUAUUUCAUUCAAGCCUCUUUACACGUGCAUUGCGUUUUACAUUUUAAACAAUGUAUUACAUACACUGUUGAAGGUGGAGGUUUCCAUAAAGUUCUAUCUCUGCCUUUCUCUGGAAAAAGGUCCAAUCCCCUCCCCCAGUGAAAUAACUAUUUUUAAUUUGCAUUCAGCUUUCUGUCAGCAACUUUCACUGUUUUUCUUCAUUCAGGACAGGAUCACAUCUAACCUACAUGAUGGUGAAAAGAAAUCUGAUUUGGCUAACCGUAUAACCCUAAUAUAUUAAAUCAUUUUUUUAAAAAAAGAGAGAUGCAUCCCAAACAUUAAAUUCAAAUGAUAUUUCACUACUGUUGCCCUCAACCUUCCUAGCCCUCUUCCAUUAUUUGCCAUUUCUUAAUUGAGUCAAAUUUAGAUUGUAAGCUCCUCAUGGCAGGGACUUGUCACUUUGGUGUAAAAUACAAUGCAUACACACUUCAGCACUUUAUAAAAUCAUUGUGUGUCUAAUGCACAAGUCAUAUAAUGAGGUCUAAUUUAAACUGAAUCAUUAUUUAUUCCCAUCAAUCAGUCUGUAACAACAUUUCAGUUUCUGUGCACCAUGUAUAUGGAAUUCCCUUUCUGUUGACUUGUGCUACUGAUAACCUUCAUGCAUUUUAUAUAUGUAGUAAAGUUGUUUUUCAAUAUAGCUUAUUUGUAAACAUUGGAAUACCUUUAUGUAAAGUACCUCUGCUGGCAUAAAAGGUGCAAUAAAUGCAUAGCUUGAAUUUGAUUUGAUAUGGAUUGGUGAAUCCAGUAAAAUACUACUACUGAUUAUUACAUGUUAGAUAAAUGUA